GAUGAACGCUGGCGGCGUGCUUAACACAUGCAAGUCGAACGAAGCACCUCUCCCGAAGAUUGACACAGCUUGCUGUAGAUUGAUUCAUUUGAGGUGACUGAGUGGCGGACGGGUGAGUAACGCGUGGGUAACCUGCCUCAUAGAGGGGGACAACAGUUGGAAACGACUGCUAAUACCGCAUAGUAAGAAGAAUUCGCAUGUUUUCUUCUUGAAAGAUUUAUCGCUAUGGGAUGGACCCGCGUCUGAUUAGCUAGUUGGUAAGGUAACGGCUUACCAAGGCGACGAUCAGUAGCCGGCUUGAGAGAGUGAACGGCCACAUUGGGACUGAGACACGGCCCAAACUCCUACGGGAGGCAGCAGUGGGGAAUAUUGCACAAUGGGGGAAACCCUGAUGCAGCGACGCCGCGUGAGUGAAGAAGUAUUUCGGUAUGUAAAGCUCUAUCAGCAGGGAGGAUAAUGACGGUACCUGACUAAGAAGCCCCGGCUAACUACGUG
rnacentral:rRNA from 1 species